UACAGAGGGUGCGAGCGUUGUCCGGAAUCACUGGGCGUAAAGGGCGCGUAGGUGGCGCCGCAAGUCCAUGGUGAAAGCUCGAUGCUCAACAUCGAGUCGGCCACGGAGACUGCGGGGCUCGAGCCACUGUAGGGGCAGAUGGAAUUCCGGGUGUAGCGGUGGAAUGCGUAGAGAUCCGGAAGAACACCGGUGGCGAAGGCGGUCUGCUGGGCAGUUGCUGACACUGAGGCGCGACAGCGUGGGGAGCAAACAGGG
rnacentral:rRNA from 1 species